rnacentral:rRNA from 1 species
UUACCGGNUNNNNNUAAAAGAGAUCCGCAAGGGACAGGUGGUGCAUGGCUGUCGUCAGCUCGUGUCGUGAGANNUUGGGUUAAGUCCCGCAACGAGCGCAACCCUAUCAAUGUUGCCAGCAUAUGGGACUCAUUGAGACUGCCGGGGUUAAUCGGAGGAAGGUGGGGAUGACGUCAAGUCCUCAUGCCCCUUAUGCUGGGCUGCAAACACGCUACAAUGGGAUACAAGGGGCUUCGCGAGAUUAGCAAUCCCGAAAUCGUCUCAGUUCGAAUUGAAGUCUGCAACUCGACUUCAUGAAGCUGGAGUUGCUAGUAAUCCCGAUCAGCACGCGGGGUGAAUACGUUCCCGGGCCUUGUACACACCGCCCGUCACACCACGAAAGUCGGAAACCGAA